AUAUACAUAUAUCUCCUGUUCUGAUUUUGUAAUGAUCAGGACAGGCUAAUCAUCUACUAGAGCAAGGCCACUCAUGUGCCCAGACCUAGAGAAAGAACUUAGGUCUGAUUUUCAAAUGCUGGCAACAAAG